AAACGCACCUACUUGUAGGUGUCUGACGGUACCGUCAGAAUAAAGACCGGCUAACUCCGUGCCAGCAGCCGCGGUAAUACGGAGGGUCCGAGCGUUAUCCGGAAUCAUUGGGUUUAAAGGGUCCGUAGGCGGGCCUGUAAGUCAGGGGUGAAAGUUUGUGGCUCAACCAUAAAAUUGCCUUUGAUACUGCAGGUCUUGAGUCAUGGUGGGGUCAGCCAGAACAUGUGGUGUAGCGGUGAAAUGCAUAGAUAUCACAUAGAACACCGAUCGCGAAGGCAGGUGACCAACCAUGUACUGACGCUGAUGGACGAAAGCGUGGCGUAGCGAACGGGAUUAGAUACCCCGGUAGUCCACGCCGUAAACGAUGGAUACUAGCUGUGGGGACUUCAGUCUCCGUGGCCAAGCGAAAGUGAUAAGUAUCCCACCUGGGGAGUACGUUCGCAAGAAUGAAACUC
rnacentral:rRNA from 1 species